UACGGAGGGGGCGAGCGUUGUUCGGAGUUACUGGGCGUAAAGGGCGCGUAGGCGGCUUAUUUUGUCAGGCGUGAAAGCCCCGGGCUUAACCUGGGAACUGCGUUUGAUACGGAUGGGCUAGAGUUCGGGAGAGGAGCGUGGAAUUCCCAGUGUAGAGGUGAAAUUCGUAGAUAUUGGGAAGAACACCGGUGGCGAAGGCGGCGCUCUGGACCGAGACUGACGCUGAGGCGCGAAAGCGUGGGGAGCAAACAGG
rnacentral:rRNA from 1 species